AAUUUUGGACAAUGGGGGGAACCCUGACCCAGCAAUGCCGCGUGUGCGCUGAUGGCCUUCUGGUUGUAAAGCACUCUUAGCAGGGAAGAAACAGCGCCGGUUAACACCCGGCGUCACUGACGGUACCUGCAGAAUAAGCACCGGCUAACUACGUGACAGCAACCUCGGUAGUACCUAGGGUGCAAGCGUUAAUCGGUAUUACUGGGCGUAAAGGGUUCGCAGGCGGCAUGGCAAGAAAGGUGUGAAAUCCCAGGGCUUAACCUUGGAAUGGCACUUUUAACUGCCAAGCUAGAGUAUGUCAGAGGGGGGUAGAAUUCCACGUGUAGCAGUGAAAUGCGAAGAGAUGUGGAGGAAUACCGAUGGCGAGGACAGCCCCCUGGGAUAAUACUGACGCUCAGGCCCGAAAGCGUGGGGAGCAAAC
rnacentral:rRNA from 1 species